GACAGAAUUCAUUAUUCAGCAAACGCAACGCAAAACACAAUCUCUGUCCUGACACUACUCCCCAUGUUGGCGUAUUCUUCGGAGGGAGGCGCAGCAGCCCACUCUACUAUGAAGAAGAAGAAGACAUGCACCACCGCCACUCUCGCUAUCGUGCGCCUCUUUUUCCUCUUUCCCCUCUUCUUCUUCUUCUUCAAUGGCGAUUCUCAGCUUCUCGAAUCGCCGUGCUCCGCCGCCACCGACUGUGGUCCCGGUCUGUACUGUGGGAAUUGCCCUGCUAUUGGGAAAGAUCAGCCUUUCUGCAUCAGAGGCCAAGCUACAAUUCCAUCUUCAAUUAUUAGCGGGAUGCCUUUUAACAAGUACACAUGGCUCGUGACUCACAACGCAUUCUCCAUUGUCGACGCGCCGCUGCUCACCGGCGCUCAGAGAAUCACUUUCUACAACCAAGAAGACUCCGUCACAAAUCAAUUGAGGAAUGGAGUGCGGGGAUUGAUGCUGGAUAUGUACGAUUUCGAGAACGACAUAUGGCUCUGCCAUUCGUUUCGCGGCCAAUGCUACAACUACACCGCAUUCGAGCCUGUAAUCAAUACACUGAGAGAAGUGGAAGCGUUCUUGGCUCAAAACCCCUCGGAAAUUAUCACAAUCAUAAUCGAGGAUUAUGUCCACACACCAAAAGGACUGACGAGAGUCUUCACCGAUGCUGGCUUAGACAAGUACAUGUAUCCACUUGCCAAAAUGCCGAAGAAAGGCGAAGACUGGCCCACCAUUAACAAGAUGGUGCAGAAUAAUUAUCGCUUACUUGUUUUCACUUCCGAUUCUUCGAAAGAGGCGGCCGAAGGCAUUGCGUAUCAGUGGAAGUACAUGGUGGAAAAUGAGUCUGGAGAUCCAGGGGUGGUGCCUGGUUCAUGUCCGAAUAGAAAGGAAUCGAAGGCGCUUAAUUCAAGAAGUGCAUCUUUAUUUAUGAUGAAUUAUUUUCCUACAAUUCCAGUUCAAAGCGAAGCUUGCAAAGAGCAUUCUGUGCCGCUUGCUGAUAUGGUGGCCACGUGUUAUAAAUCUGCCGGAAAUUUGAUACCGAAUUUUCUAGCAGUGAAUUUUUACAUGAGAAGUGAUGGAGGAGGUGUUUUUGAUGUGUUGGAUCGAAUGAAUGGGCAGCGACUGUGUGGGUGUAGUACUGUCUCUGCUUGCCAGGCAGGAGAACCCUUUGGAAAAUGCAAGGCAAUCACAGUAUAUAACAUGACUUCCACCACAACUCCCGGAAAUUCCGGAAGCUUCUCCGGGUCCGUUCAGUUAACCGGAGAUGCUUCAAGACUCAAUAAUUUUCCCGCCAUUUUUGCUCUGUUAUUAUUAUCUUUUUUCGUCACCUUUUAUACUAUGUUGCAAUGAGAAUUGAUAUUAUGUAAACAUCCAAUCAGCCCUUGUAAUGUUUGCAGUCUCUAAAGUUUUGGAUUUAGAAUAGGUUUCUGCGUAUAUUUGCUAUAUGUAACAAGUUACUAUCUUAAAACAGAGAUUGACUAAAGAGAAACGAAAGAGAAAGAGGCCAAUUCUUGUGCAAUGCAGGAUCAUUGGUAUCUCGAAAGAUGUUUCUCUCCUUGUCGAUUUUUUUCGUACAUUAUGGCUCGUUUAAUUAAAUAUAACUGUUUUUUUUCUUUUC